GACGAACGCUGGCGGCGUGCUUAACACAUGCAAGUCGAACGGAAAGGCCCUGCUUUUGUGGGGUGCUCGAGUGGCGAACGGGUGAGUAACACGUGAGUAACCUGCCCUUGACUUUGGGAUAACUUCAGGAAACUGGGGCUAAUACCGGAUAGGAGCUCCUGCUGCAUGGUGGGGGUUGGAAAGUUUCGGCGGUUGGGGAUGGACUCGCGGCUUAUCAGCUUGUUGGUGGGGUAGUGGCUUACCAAGGCUUUGACGGGUAGCCGGCCUGGGAGGGUGACCGGCCCCAUUGGGACUGAGAUACGGCCCAGACUCCUACGGGGGGCAGCAGGGGGAAAUAUUGCACAAUGGGCGGAAGCCUGAUGCAGCAACGCCGCGUGCGGGAUGACGGCCUUCGGGUUGUAAACCGCCUUCGCCUGUGACGAAGCGUGAGUGACGGUAAUGGGUAAAGAAGCACCGGCUAACUACGUG
rnacentral:rRNA from 1 species